UUGGCAUUCAAGAACUCUCUAAGACUUCUCCUUUGGGGAGAUUGAGAGGAAGUGACAAUGUGUUGGAGGUAUACAGCCGGUGUUAUAAUGAACAACCACUGGUCAUUCAAGGUGCUGGAGCUGGCAAUGAUACUACAGCAGCUGGUGUGCUUGCUGAUAUCCUGGAUAUUCAGGAUUUAUUCCCUUGAAAAAAGUGGGUAAUUCACUUCUGAGACUCAGAUCAUAGAGACGAUGUCACAGGAUGCGCC
rnacentral:misc_RNA from 1 species